CUAGGUUUCUUUUCUCCCGAGCCGACACCCUCUCGACGCCGCGCGAUCCUUCUCCUCUCUCGGGCAGAAACACAGCGAAUUUAGGGCACGCCUCCGGCACCGGCGAAGCUUUCUUCCGGCCAGCCUUCAUCCGUGGGUGGCCAUCCCGACGAAGGGAGCUCGGAAGCAUAAAGGAGCCGCCGAGUUCGAGCUCCAUCCGGAACCCUAGCCGCCUCUUUCCCUUGGUUGUAAGUCCAAGAACCCUCAAUAAAGGAAAAAAAAAACUAAGAUAUGAAAGAGAGGCGACAGGAUGGUGGUGGUGAUGAAGGUGUGUGAUGUCUGGACUAUGGAGAGAUCCAGGAUUAGCUGACAAACCUGUUAAGACCUUCUAUUUAAUUCUUUUAGAUUGCCUUAAGUGUUAUUUUGAGUUGAGACUGUAUUUAAGUUAUUCCGCACUUGUAAGUAGUUCACUUGUAUUAUUGGUGGAGUGAUGUAGUUGGUUGCUUGCUAGAGUAGUUUCUUUCUUUUA